rnacentral:misc_RNA from 1 species
UACAGAGGGUGCAAGCGUUAAUCGGAGUUACUGGGCGUAAAGGGCGCGUAGGCGGUUAAUUAAGUCAGUUGUGAAAUCCCAGGGCUUAACCUUGGAAUGGCAAUUGAGACUGGUUAGCUUGAGUCGGAGAGAGGGAAGCGGAAUUUCCGGUGUAGCGGUGAAAUGCGUAGAUAUCGGAAAGAACACCGGUGGCGAAGGCGGUUUUCUGGCUCCAGACUGACGCUGAGGCGCGAAAGCGUGGGGAGCGAACAGG